GCCUACGGGACGCAGCAGUGGGGAAUAUUGCACAAUGGGGGAAACCCUGAUGCAGCGACGCCGCGUGAGUGAAGAAGUAUUUCGGUAUGUAAAGCUCUAUCAGCAGGGAAGAAAUAGCGACCUUUGGGUCGCCAGACAGUACCUGACCAAGAAGCCCCGGCUAACUACGUGCCAGCAGCCGCGGUAAUACGUAGGGGGCAAGCGUUAUCCGGAUUUACUGGGUGUAAAGGGAGCGCAGGCGGUAUGGCAAGUCAGAUGUGAAAACCCAGGGCUCAACCCUGGGACUGCAUUUGAAACUGCCAUAC
rnacentral:rRNA from 1 species